rnacentral:snoRNA from 1 species
GGCCUUUUGGGGCUUGGCGCAGGCUAUGUUCUUACCUUGACUCUCUAGAAAGAGGAGGCAAAGCAAACCUAUGCCAUGUUCUCCUCAGUCCAGGCCCUGUGCUUGGCUUGUAUUAUGAGUUGGGAGACAUGG